rnacentral:misc_RNA from 1 species
UCCGAGUUGGCCCCGGCAGUCUCCUACGAGUCCCCGGCAUUACCCGCUGGCAACAUAGGACAAGGGUUGCGCUCGUUGCGGGACUUAACCCAACAUCUCACGACACGAGCUGACGACAACCAUGCACCACCUGUGCAGGGCCCUUGCGGACCCCGUAUCUCUACGAGAUUUCCCUGCAUGUCAAGCCUUGGUAAGGUUCUUCGCGUUGCAUCGAAUUAAACCACAUACUCCACCGCUUGUGCGGGCCCCCGUCAAUUCCUUUGAGUUUCAGUCUUGCGACCGUACUCCCCAGGCGGCGAACUUAACGCGUUAGCUACGACACUGGGAGGCUUACCCUCUCAACGUCUAGUUGUCAUCGUUUAUGGCGUGGACUAC